rnacentral:rRNA from 1 species
CUGCUGCCUCCCGUAGGAGUUUGGGCCGUGUCUCAGUCCCAAUGUGGCCGGCCACCCUCUCAGGUCGGCUACUGAUCGUCGCCUUGGUGGGCCGUUACCCCGCCAACCAGCUAAUCAGACGCGGAUCCAUCUCAUACCGCCGGAGCUUUUCACUCAGGAGCAUGCGCUCCCGGGUGCUUAUGCGGUAUUAGCAGUCAUUUCUAACUGUUAUCCCCCUGUAUGAGGCAGGUUAUCCACGCGUUACUCACCCG